rnacentral:snoRNA from 1 species
AUGACCUUACUUGAACAGGAUCUGUUCUAUAGGCUCGUACCUCUGUAUCCUUGAGUUCUAAGGAGACAGAAAAAUAAUUGACUCUAUCCUGAAU